UACGUAGGGUGCGAGCGUUGUCCGGAAUUACUGGGCGUAAAGAGCUCGUAGGGGGUUUGUCGCGUUGUUCGUGAAAUCUCACGGCUUAACUGUGAGCGUGCGGGCGAUACGGGCAGACUGGAGUACUGCAGGGGAGACUGGAAUUCCUGGUGUAGCGGUGGAAUGCGCAGAUAUCAGGAGGAACACCGGUGGCGAAGGCGGGUCUCUGGGCAGUAACUGACGCUGAGGAGCGAAAGCGUGGGGAGCGAACAGG
rnacentral:rRNA from 1 species